rnacentral:sRNA from 1 species
UGAAGCGGCGGGGCUUUCGUCUCCGCCGCUACUACUUCCGACUUUUAAA